GGGAGGUUGUGGGGGUGUUAUUACAGAACAAGGCAAAUGUGGAUGAGAAAGAUAAGAAAGGCAGCACACCUCUACAUGAUGCAGCCUACCAGGGACACAGGGAGGUUGUUGGGGUGUUAUUACAGAACAAGGCAAAUGUGAAUGAGAAACGACAAGAUGGCAGCACACCUCUACAUCAUGCAGCCGACCAGGGACAGAGGGAGGUUGUGGAGGUGUUAUUACAGAACAAGGCAAAUGUGGAUGAGAAAGACGAUAAAGGAGAAACUGCUUUACAAAAAGCAGAGGCACAACAUCACUAUGAUAUUGCAAGGAUUAUACCUGAGGCAACAAAUAUACAUUAUAGAUAGGGUGACAACCGAUGGCCAGUUUCUUAUGAAAUCAUCGUCAAUUCCACACGGAAGCUAUAACAAUGGCGGUUUGCUUACAUCCACACCACUAACAUCAACGUGCCCCGUGAACCACACAUCAGUAGAAUUGCCAGGGGUUUAUGUUCCGAGUCAACUAGGACAAGCAGUUUCCACAGACAGACAAAGUGUUAUGGAAGAGAGAUACGUCGCCUUGCAGUCAUCCCAACCAUAUCAUAUAGACGGAAAUCUUAACAACCUCCAUACAGAUCAUGCACGCAUGGAGAUACGUUCACCCAAUCAAAGAUCAAAAGCCAUAUAUGGAAACUCAAGUCAUGUUCCCACCUGUGUCCAUGCUCCAGUAGUUGGUGACACAUUGCCUAGUUCAGAUACCACUAGUAAUUCUGAGAAUGUCAUCAUUCACUACACUGAGUCUGGGGAAAAGAUAGAGCUGCAGCAGUUCUAAAAGUGGUCUAGAAAGGAGUUAUCAUUGUUAUUAUGGUGUCCAGUGUUACAGUAUACAUGUACAUUUUUACAACCUCCUUUAGGAGUCAGCCGUCCGAAUUUGGUUUGCAGAAAGUUAUUUGUCAUUUGUGUCGAUGACAAUCAUAGGUCUCUAGCGUGCCCAAGGGACGCAACUCUGCACAGCGAAUCGCGGCGCCUUAGACGACUGGGCCACGCGUACCCCCGUGUUAUGUUGAAAGUAGUGGAGUGAUUUGUGUCGAUGUAGUUUUGACGUUUCGGUAUGCAUCUCGAUUCCAUAAAAACCCCAUUGUACUUCACAAAUUCUAGGCUCAUGCCUAACUUUAAUGUUUAGAAGAUUACAUGACAGUUUCUUACAAAUGUUUAUAACUGGACAUAUGCAGAUUUCAGUGUGUUCCGAACUUUCUUAAAGCAAAGUGUUUUGUUGAAAUUAUUCGGAGUGAGUUCAGAUUGACGUACACAAUGAACGGUAUUGCCACUUUGAUUUGUUUCUGCACCAUUUCCAGUGUCAGAGUUGUGAAGUCUCACCCCCAAUACGAAGCCAUGUAACCUGUUGUACAUGCAAUAUAGACUUUAAAGUAUGUUCACGGUGACUUCAUAUUCAGGUAUAUAAUGAUUGUUGUAUUUCAAAGCAAUUUAUCCUAUUAAUUUCCAUGAUGUCUUGGCAAACAUGAAAAUGCUAAGAUCAAAUAGAAUUCUUUGAGCUGUGUCCCUUGAACAAAUACAGACUAUAUAGUCAUGGGCAAAACCAACCAGUAUUACAUUCUUCCAUGAUAUCUGACAUAUUCUUAUGUGACAUAUUAUGUGAUAGAUCACUGAACGAAUCCCCGUAAGAUAUCGCUUUUAUUACAAACAUUGUAUCUGAAAACGUUAUCUAAGGAGCGAAUGAUGUUGGAAGCACUAUUGUACUAACAUUCAUGGUGUAAUUUAUAUACUUUUAUCAUCAGAUAACUCUUGUUAGUGCUGCAUUAGUUAAAUGGCCUGUUAUGUAUUGCCCAUAGUUGACCCAUUGUAUAACCCCUUUGUGACUGUAGACCUACAAUUACGUUUUACAAUAGAAGUUGUUUUUUAUUUAUUUGUAUUUUGUGCUGAUUUACUGAUUUGGCAAUAUAGUUUGAACCGUUUUCUAUUAUUGUUACCUGAAUGCUCGAAAUGGGUGUUUUGAGUUCAAUUUAUAGUCCCCAAAGUUAAAAGGUAGAACUAAUCAAGAUCCAGGUCGAAUUUAAAUAUUUCGGAGAAAUCGAACUAUUUCUUUGGUCCCCAGGAGUUCGAGGCAAUUGGGUCCGAUUGUUCCUUUAUGUGUAUAUAUCUGAAUAUGUAUACAGGUAGAAAAAGAUGCUUUUCCAAACGCAGUGAAGUCAAACAGAUUGAGCCAUACCAGUGCAGCGUGUAUCAUAAUCAGAACCAAUCACAAACUAUAUUUACUAUACUGAUCUAAAUAAACACUUUCCCUACGAAAAAGACAAAUAAGUGUCUUUGUUUAUUAUAAUCAAAUAAAGAAAAUACGCAAAACCAAACCAAAACAAACUGACAAUUGAAUGAAGUUAUCCAGGUUACAUGGCAUAAAUAAGCAGCAUGUUUUGCAAGCACAAUACAUGUGUGAUGAUCAAGCCUGCUAGAAUUGUCAUCAUACACCAUUGCAUUUGUAAAUACCUUGCUCUGAAAUGAGGUGGGCUAGACCGCCUCCAUUGUCGUAUGUGUAGAGUAUCAGACAGACUUAUUUCGUAUGUGUGGCCAUGAGGCCAAUAGCACAAUGACAUUUUAUUGUAAAACAAUUCGUCGUGAAGCACCACUUGUAUAUUGAUUAGAUUGUAGCUAAAUAUGGUGUACGCAGUUUUAUUUAUAUUCAAUGUAUUAGCCCUCUUUCAAAUAUCUUAUAAACACAAACUGCAAGUCUGAGAAGAAUGUUGCUAUUUUUGCUGUUCAUUAACUGUACAAAUGUUCUUUGUGAUGGACACGUAUAAUAAUAGUUGGGCAGGUAUUUGAUUCUUACUGGACAUAUCAAUAAAACAUGGUAUUCA